CUGUGGCAGAGGAAACUGAAGAACUUGCCCACAGAAGUGGGAAAUCUGGGGACAAAAAGAGGACAAGUUUGGACCUUCCACAGUUCAGAACUGAGAGCCUAAUUGCAAACCCAUUACAAGCCCAGGACAAGAAGAGCCAGUGGUUUCACAGAAUAAAGGAGUAAGCAAAACAAGGGGCAGGUAAUAGAAGAAGCACUUCAAAAGAGAUACACCUGGGAUAUAACUGGGUUAUAGAGAAGGUUCAUUUAUGGUAAAUGAAUCACUAUCAAAUCACUAUCACUAUCAAAUCACCAAUCACUAAAAAUGUCAGAUGCAAUACUUUGAAGACCAAAUGAAAAAAUGACGAGUUGUUUUUCUUUGGUUUCAAAGCUAAAUCCAUAUCACUUGUUUUGCAGA